CCACAGCCACAGAGACAGAAACCUGAGCAUGCACUGUACAUCUCGAUGGAACAACACAACACUGUCCAAAAAGACAUUUCAGGAUGUAGUCUGAAAUCCUGAUGGAAAUAACAGUGAAUAGCUCAUCAGCCUCCAGGAAGAUGAAUCUGAAACAUUUUCUGAGACAAAGACAAAUCAGUAUUGUUGAACUGCCCAUUGCCACUCCAGAUGAAACAAGAUCGAAUGCUGAAGCCUAUUAA
rnacentral:lncRNA from 14 species